UCCAUUACAUACAUUGAAUUUUCUUUUUUAGAUAUAGCCUACCCAUGCUUUUGACUAGUAGUAUGUCAUGUAUAGCAGAGGUAGUUAAGUAGUGUAUUUAAUUUAAUGCAAUUAUUAGUUUCCCCCUGGAGUGGGCUGCAGCCUGGGCGCCCCCUGCCCGCGUCAGCUACACUUUACCCCGGGAUUCGUUACCCUUCGGGCCGCCGCCUCCCUCUCUGUCCCUGCGGUGGUGUGGGAUGCACUGCUGCUGCUGGCCUGUGACUGUGGCCCCUCUUAUCAGUUGUUCCUGUCCAUGCAGUUUGGAACCGGCUUGGUUCUUCCCAAAGUUAACUGUCAGGGACCACCAAGUCCAGAGACAGUGUCGAUGUAUUGCUCCUGGAUCAUGAAGGCUGCCAGGUUGGCUGUGUAGGAAGCCAGGAAGAUGACAGCGAAG